CUGCCUCUCAGCUGUGCCCAGGGCAGCAAUCAGGCAGACCUAGGAUAGGAGGCAGGUGGGACCUCCCAGAGUCCAGCUGAGGGAUAAAUGGCCAACAGGCCAGCUGUGGAGGAGGCGGGUCUGAGCUCCCCUCCCACACCAAAAGAAAAGAAAUGACUUUAUUUCCCUUUAAGGGAGUAGCUGGAGCAGAAAUAUGGCUCUGGCUUUUUGCUUUCCUGGGGGAAGUGAGCCCUAACAGUGGCACAGAGAAGCUGUGGGGAAGGAAGGCAACUGGUGUCCAGCUGCAGGCCCUGAGGGAGCCCUGGGGCUGGCUAAAGCCAACACUGGAGGCCUUGUGAGACUUUCCAGAACAUUCUCAGGUGUGGACAUGUGCAAUGUAUUAGGCUGUAAUGACCCUAUGAGAGGAAGCAGGAGGUGACAAGAGCUGGUUACAGGUCAGGGACAUGAGAGAAGCUGAAGGCUCCAUUUAUGUGCUGCCCAGUGCAGCCCUACCAAAGAGCAUCGCUGACAGAGCCUGCUGUGGAUGAAGCUUGAACAAAGUGCCCAAAUGGAUCCAAGGCUGCGUGUGAGUUGUUCGAGAAAACAAAAAUUUUCUGCUGACUAAUGAGUCUCUGACUUCCUCCAGUCUACCAAAUGUUCUAGAUGUUUUUGUGCAGAUGAUUGCAACGCCUCUUCCAAGUGGAGAUAAGCUUUUGUCUCAGGGGAAAAUUCUGCACCGACACUGGAGGAAAUAAGAUGACAUGAAAAUUUAUAUUUUGCUAAGAACUUAUUUUGGAUCUUCUGUUUUAACUGUAUAUCAUUUUAGGGGCACCUAGUGUUCCUCCUUUACUAUAUAUAUAUUGUUUGUGGCAAAUGAGCACUGAAUACAGCAACUAUUUAGGGAAUAAUAGUAAUUGUGCAGUGAGGCUGCUGCUCAAGCCCUUCUAAAAAAUCUCUCCAUAGAUUACCAGCCACUGUCAGGGAGAUCUGCCAGAUACAUACAGCGUGUACACUUUCUUAUCAGUAGGAAGCUGACCUUUACCAACCGUUACCAUGUUGAUGCGUGAUUCCCUACCCCUUCCUUUUGUGUGGUCCUCACUGCCCUUUGCUCCAGUUAUUCAGGCCUUCUGUGGGUAAAUUUUACCCCAUGAAGAGUGCCUGAAAAAAACAUGCUUAACUCCUACUUAAACCCUAUUUUAAAGACUUAAGUGGUGCAUAAGCUUUAUGUUCUCACUGCACACAGGAAUCAACUUCAUUCUCUGUGAUUACAUUUUACCAGGGUCUACUUGAAGAGACUUCUGUAAGUGCUGCUUUUGGAUGUGUCUAUUUUUAAAAAGAAGGGCUUGAACUAUUUCCUUCCAGUAACUAAAUCUCCCUAAUCAUGCAUGAGGUACAAACUGUGUUUUAGAACACAGAAAUUGUCUAGAGUGUUCAAGAAAAUUAAUAUCAAGAAUAACGCAGCAUACUUGGACUAAAUACCACAGAAACAAAGCUGCAGACAAAUAAUUAGAAUUAAAAAAUAAAAUUUGCUUUUCUAAAUUACUAUUUUACAUCUAAAAUAGGACAUCUCUUCACAGCGAAAAGAAUUGCCUUUUUUUUGUAUUCAAGCAAUCCCAAACCUGCCCAGGUGAGGUUUUCCAUGUCUGAUAUCGCAAUUAGUGGAAGAAGUGCAGUUAAGUAAACGACAUCUGAAAGACAGCUGGAAAUAUUCUAUUUUCAGCUACACGUGAGGCUGUCAUGAUCCCAAGCAGUAAUGAUCCCUCCCAGAGUAAUUUUGGGGAGGUGGGAAAGGAGUUGAUAGCCAUAAUUUUUGGGUUGGAUGGAAUAUAUAGGUCUUUUGCUAGGGCCAGACAGCACCUGUCCUACCCCAGAUGCAGGAAAUGGAAUUGCCAGUCCCAGCUGACUGGGAAGCCUGCAGCCCCAUAUCAGUCACACGGUACUCAGCGUGAUCCUACGUCAUCUUCGGUCUACAGGUUUUCUUUCACUAUCCCUUUUGGUAGGGGAGAUGGAAACGGUACUGAUUGAAAUGCAAGUGUGAGUUUACAAAACAGUAACUAUGACCAGGGAACAAUUCAUAGAUUUUGUUAUCUGUUAAUCCAUUAUUAAUUGUAAAAUAAUUGCUCUGCAUGAAACUGGUAAAGCUACCCCACUUUACAUUUUUAAGCAUAAUUUGUCUCAGCUUAGUGUGAUUGAUUCUGAA